rnacentral:lncRNA from 1 species
ACCUUAAUGAAAAAUAAUAAUGCUGAAAAACAAACCAGAUAUUUACCUGUUCCUUGCACUCAGGGAACAGGCAAUGUUGAGGGAUACCUGGGGUCCUCGAAGCACCUGUUAGCAGUUUGGCUAGUGGUUUCAAGAAAAGCCGCAGCAGGGAUGGACUCGAUACAGAGGAACGCACUGUUAUGAUCAGCGUGUCUCUGAAAGGGCUUCUAUCAAUCCG